rnacentral:lncRNA from 1 species
UUCAAAUCGCGGGACGGCGAUGCAAGUCCGGCACGAUGACCCGGCCAACCUUCAAGUCCGGCACCACGGCGACGGACGACGGACCGUUCAUAACUUGACUUGCAAAUCCUUGUUUGGUAACCAUUAAUACCAAACCUAGCCGGAAUCUGGUUGCCGGGGGAUCACGCCAUCACGGGACCUUCCUGUGGUUUCGUUGUGUAGCACCACCCGUUCAGAUCCACCGCUUACGUCGGAGAUACCACAUUUUUUUUGCUUUUAUGAAAGAUUUUGAAAUGCUUGCAGUUUUUAGUCUGUUGAAGAAAUUGAUGGGAAAAGCUUCAUCUUUCUUUGUUAAAGGAGUUUUUUAAAUGGGUUUGAUCUGAAACUUAAGGACUUUGAAACCGCAGUUGCGGAUGGAAAAGAAAACAAUAUGAUCUAGAACCGAUUUGAUUAAGUACGACAAUUUGUCGGAGAAAAUAAAGAUUUGUGGGUGUGGAGGAUGCGUAUUUGUAGUAUGACGGUAGACGGUUGUUGGCGGUUAUGAUAAAGGAACGCGACCCGCCUAUUUUUACGUAAAGUGUGUAUUGAAAAGGGCCAAAGACCAAUACAAAAGUGCCACAUGGACGAAACGUUAAAAUCAAACGGGUGCCUCUAGUAAAACGUUACGGUGGUGUGUUAAAGCAAUUGAAGUUUCCUUUAAAUUCCAACCGGUGUGAGUUGCUUUGGUAGAUCAUGGAGAGGGACAUGAUGUUUAAACAUACCUUAAGUUGGUUUUUGUAUAUAUAGAUAAUAUGAUAUAUGGCUAGAUCAAAUACAAA